UACGUAGGGUGCAAGCGUUGUCCGGAAUUAUUGGGCGUAAAGAGCUCGUAGGCGGUCUGUCGCGUCUGCUGUGAAAACUCAGGGCUUAACCCUGAGCUUGCAGUGGGUACGGGCAGACUAGAGUGCGGUAGGGGAGACUGGAAUUCCUGGUGUAGCGGUGAAAUGCGCAGAGUAUCAGGAGGAACACCGGUGGGCGAAAGG
rnacentral:rRNA from 1 species